CGGAAUGAGGGCCAAUAUCCAUUCUUCUGGGACAUAGAUUGGGAAGAACUAAAAGCUCUCCAUGUGCAGCCCCCUGUACCCGGCAACACAUCAGAGAAAGAAUCUCCUUCUCAGACGUCGGAGUAACACCAUCCACUGGAGCCGCUUCCAAUAACAUCUUAAGUUGCAUCCAUCAUGAACUUUCUGAUGAUGUCCCUUAGGGUUCAGUAGAAGGUCCAGCCUGUAGCAAAAACAGCCGGCCACUCUCCAGCUGCCCAGAUUACAUCAGUCGGUAUAACAUCUCUUAUCAUUAGUCAGACUGUGUUUGAUCUCGGAAACCCUCAAAGAUCUGGAGAUACUGUAGAGACAACAAAUAUGUUUGGCGAGGGAUGCUGAUACUGAGGAGUGGUAACUGGAGCUGGACUAUGGGCUACAUGGAGGAACCUUGAUGGCUUGGUAAAAUUCCUUUUCAUAGAGCAGAAGAAGCUGGUAUGAGUAGUCUCGUGUAAUGCACAGGAGAGCUGGAGUACGUGGUUGGCGCAGGGGUAGUUUAUAUUCUUGCACCUAGUUCUUUGCUGAGUAGCAGGAGAAACCGGAAUGAUACCAGUAAUGUAGACGGCUGAAACUGGUAAUUUUGAACCAGAUUGGAACUGGAUUGCUGGACUUGGACUGGAAUGAUGUGUUGGACUAUAACUGGAUUGCUGAGCCGGACUGGAACCGGAUAACUAAACUGGACCUCUGGGACAAACAGGAGAAACAGUGUAUUGGCAGGUAACAGGAUAUAAGAGUCUGGAGCGUGACAUCGGGACCCUUAGGACUAAACAGAACCUAGGUGAAGUGGAGGUCUUCUGAUUCGGCAAGUGUAUGGUACCUCCUGGUUGCCCUACAUAUUAGAAUACAUUUACAAUAUUGUAUUAUUUAUUAUAUUACUAAUAUUUAUUAUUAACA